GAUGAAGAACGCAGUGAAAUGCGAUAAGUAAUGUGAAUUGCAGAAUUCAGUGAAUCAUCGAAUCUUUGAACGCACAUUGCGCCCAUUAGUAUUCUAUUGGGCAUGCCUGUUCGAGCGUCAUUUUGACCACUUAAGCCUGGCUUAGUGUUGGGAAUCUACUUUUGUAGUUCCUUAAAUCUAGUGGCGGAGCCGCAGUGGCCUCUGAGCGUAGUAAUUUUUUCUCGCUUUGGAAGGUUCUGUAGUUUUUGCCAUAAAACCCCCAAUUUUUUAAGGUUGACCUCGGAUCAGGUAGGAAUACCCGCUGAACUUAAGCAUAUCAAUAAGCGGAGGA
rnacentral:misc_RNA from 1 species